rnacentral:rRNA from 1 species
GAUGAACGCUGGCGGCAGGCCUAACACAUGCAAGUCGAGCGCGCCUUCGGGUGAGCGGCGGACGGGUUAGUAACGCGUGGGAACGUGCCCUUCUCUACGGAAUAGCCUCUGGAAACGGAGAGUAAUACCGUAUACGCCCUUUGGGGGAAAGAUUUAUCGGAGAAGGAUCGGCCCGCGUUAGAUUAGGUAGUUGGUGGGGUAACGGCCUACCAAGCCUACGAUCUAUAGCUGGUUUUAGAGGAUGAUCAGCAACACUGGGACUGAGACACGGCCCAGACUCCUACGGGAGGCAGCAGUGGGGAAUUUUCCGCAAUGGGCGAAAGCCUGACGGAGCAACGCCGCGUGAGGGAUGAAGGCCUCUGGGCUGUAAACCUCUUUUAUCAAGGAAGAAGAUCUGACGGUACUUGAUGAAUAAGCCACGGCUAAUUCCGUG